GGGAAAUGGCCAAUCCCUGCUGGGAGGGACAGAGUCCGCCCCUGAGCAGCAACUGCAAAACAAGACACUCCUGAGUGAUGAUGGCCCUUAUCAGUUGUGUCCAGUCUGACUAAGCCUGCCUCUGCCUGYGCCUGUGYCUGUGGCUGUUCCUUACAACCAGCGACUUAAAGAGUGAGCACCAAACGGAUGGGGCGGAUUCCAGGCACUGAUGAAGACAUCUUUUCCAGUGGGCGGGGCCACUGUGCCUACAGUUCUCUCCUACCUGAGCCCCACAUGGGUGAAGAGGCUGAGGAUCAGAACCCCUUACAACUACGUCACCAUGAUGCAAUCAUCCCCCUGGCUUAGUGGUACUCGGUGGCAAUAUUUGGGCUUUUAAAGACUGUGGUGAGGGGGCUGGGGUUGUGGCUCAGCGGUAGAGCGCUUGCUUCACACAUGCAAGGCCCCUGGGUUCGAUCCUCAGCACCACAUAAAAAUAAACAAAUAAAGGUAUUAUGUCCA
rnacentral:lncRNA from 1 species